CACAACCCUUGCAAAGGGAGAAGCAAACCAACACUAUGCACAGAAGCAACAGAAACGGAGGCAUCUGUCCUGAGGUCGCAACUUCUCUCUAUCUAAACACACGGGAAAUUCUCCUUGCCAGUGUCUGCUUCCCAUGUCUCUGUCUCCAGCUGAAAACCAGUUCCUGUGGAGACUGCUGGGACAGCAACUGCCAGUCAGCACUAUCAAGUGUCCUGCCUGCCAGGCUCCUGCUGUGUCUGCGUGGAGUCCAGCCAGAGUUCUCAGUCUCUACUGUGCAGUCUCUACCAGCAGGUCAAUGCAAUCAAACUGAGUGUCAGCCAUAAUCAUGGGAAGCCUCAACAGUCACACAGCCUCUACCUCAGCAAGGUACUUCUGUACAAUGUUGCUGACUUGAGCUUUCAUUUGAGUGGUAGCUUCAUCCCUCUGAUGGAUAAAGGUGAGCAGAUCCAGACGUGGGAUUGGAGAAAUUUUAAUUCCCAUCUGGUAUACCAGGCUGGAUGGGUGUGCAACAGAGCACAAAUGCUGCUUGAAUUCAGGCAAACAAAGAGUAACAGCAUAGGGUAAGGUAGGUCUGGUUAGCACUGUUAACAUCACCUUCAGAUGGGAUUAUAUUUGCUACUGUGGAAAUGUGAUGAAGAAGCUAGAUGCCAGAUGCCACCAAAAGACACUUUCAGGCAGUACAAGUUGAAUGGACAUAGUAAUUGAAGAAAGGACUAGCUAGCCUCCUGCACGGCCUGGGACGUCUUUCUAAAUAUUGAACAGCACAGAAUAAGAGAAGAAAAAAAUAAAUAAAUAAAUAAAUCAAAGAGAUCUAAUUAU
rnacentral:lncRNA from 1 species